rnacentral:rRNA from 1 species
AUUGAACGCUGGCGGCAGGCCUAACACAUGCGAGUCGAACGGUAACAGGAAGCAGCUUGCUGCUUUGCUGACGAGUGGCGGACGGGUGAGUAAUGUCUGGGAAACUGCCUGAUGGAGGGGGAUAACUACUGGAAACGGUAGCUAAUACCGCAUAACGUCGCAAGACCAAGAGGGGGACCUUCGGGCCUCUUGCCAUCGGAUGUGCCCAGAUGGGAUUAGCUAGUAGGUGGGGUAACGGCUCACCUAGGCGACGAUCCCUAGCUGGUCUGAGAGGAUGACCAGCCACACUGGAACUGAGACACGGUCCAGACUCCUACGGGAGGCAGCAGUGGGGAAUAUUGCACAAUGGGCGCAAGCCUGAUGCAGCCAUGCCGCGUGUAUGAAGAAGGCCUUCGGGUUGUAAAGUACUUUCAGCGGGGAGGAAGGGAGUAAAGUUAAUACCUUUGCUCAUUGACGUUACCCGCAGAAGAAGCACCGGCUAACUCCGUG